GACGAACACUGGCGGCGUGCUUAACACAUGCAAGUCGAACGGUAAGGCCCUUCGGGGUACACGAGUGGCGAACGGGUGAGUAACACGUGGGUGAUCUGCCCUGCACUUCGGAAUAAGCCUGGGAAACUGGGUCUAAUACCGGAUAGGACCACUGCCUGCAUGGGUGGUGGUGGAAAGCUUUUGCGGUGUGGGAUGGGCCCGCGGCCUAUCAGCUUGUUGGUGGGGUGAUGGCCUACCAAGGCGACGACGGGUAGCUGGCCUGAGAGGGUGACCGGCCCCACUGGGACUGAGAUACGGCGCAGACUCCUACGGGAGGCAGCAGUGGGGAAUAUUGCACAAUGGGCGCAAGCCUGAUGCAGCGACGCCGCGUGAGGGAUGACGGCCUUCGGGUUGUAAACCUCUUUCAGCACCGACGAAGCGCAAGUGACGGUAGGUGCAGAAGAAGGACCGGCCAACUACGUGCCAGCCGCCGCCGUAA
rnacentral:rRNA from 1 species